GUGCUCGCUUCAGCAGCACAUGUACUAAAAUUGGAACGAUGCAGAGAUCGGCAUGGCCCCUGUGCAAGGAUGACAUGCAAAUUCUUGAAGCGGCCCAUAUUGUU
ensembl:snRNA U6 U6 spliceosomal RNA